GGGAAGUAAGCUAAUCUGGUGAAAGCGGCAGACUGAAAAUCUGUAGAGCCAGGCUCGAAACCUGGGCUUCCCA
rnacentral:tRNA from 1 species